GAUGAACGCUGGCGGCGUGCUUAACACAUGCAAGUCGAACGAAGCGCUUGAAACGGAUUCUUCGGAUGAAGUUUCCUGUGACUGAGUGGCGGACGGGUGAGUAACGCGUGGGUAACCUGCCUCAUACAGGGGGAUAAAAGUUAGAAAUGGCUGCUAAUACCGCAUAAGCGCAAGGCAUCGCAUGAUGGAGAGGGAAAAACUCCGGUUGUAUGAGAUGGACCCGCGUUGGAUUAGCUAGUUGGCAGGGUAACGGCCUACCAAGGCGACGAUCCAUAGCCGGCCUUAGAGGGUGGAAGGCCACAUUGGGACUGAGACACGGCCCAGACUCCUACGGGAGGCAGCAGUGGGAAUAUUGCACAAUGGGGGAAACCCUGAUGCAGCGACGCCGCGUGGGCGAAGAAGUAUUUCGGUAUGUAAAGCUCUAUCAGCAGGGAAGAAAACGACGGUACCUGACUAAGAAGCCCCGGCUAACUACGUGCCAGCCGCCGCAGUAA
rnacentral:rRNA from 1 species